AAACAGUGGGAGGAGGUAUAGGAAACUACUAGAGUUUAAGCCACAAUAUGUCUAGAGAUAAUUUUACAGAAGAUGAAGAGACAGUCAAGAAUUUCAAUCUGGAGCAGCAGCAGCCCCCCGCGUCGCUGUCGCUGUCGCCUCCACCACCAUCUCCGCCACCGCGCGCCACUCGGAGUCCCGCGCCCUACCAUGCCCAACAUCGCGCUGUUCAGCUGCAGCUCGCAUCAGGACCUGUCCCAGCGCGUGGCCGACCGUCUGGGCCUGGAACUGGGCAAGGUGGUCACCGAGAAGUUCAGCAACCAGGAGCCCAGCGUGGAGACUGGUGAAAGUGUGAGAGGGGAAGAUGUCUACAUCAUGCAGAGCCCUGAGGGGAAAUUAACGACAACCAGAUGGAGCUCCUUAUCAUGAUCAAUGCCUGCAAGAUCGCGUCAUCAUCCAGGGUGACUGCCGUGAUCCCGUGUUUCCCAUAUGCCCGACAAGACUAAAAGGACAAGAGUCAUGCCCCAAUUUCUGCAAAACUUGUGGCCAAUAUGCUGUCGGUGGCCGGAGCGGAUCACAUCAUCACCAUGGACCUGCAUGCCUCUCAGAUACAGGGAUUCUUUGAUAUUCCUGUGGAAAAUUUGUAUGCGGAGCCCGCAGUCCUGCAGUGGAUUCGGGAAAACACUGCCGAGUGGAAGAACUGUAUCAUUGUUUCACGUGAUGCAGGGGGAGCCAAAAGGGUCAGGUCAAUUGCAGACAGGUUGAAUGUGGAAUUUGCUUUGAUCCGCAAAGAGAGGAAGAAGGCGAAUGAAGUGGACCGGAUGGUCCUGGUGGGCGACAUGAAGGGCCGCGUGGCCAUCCUCGUGGAUGACAUGGCUGACACAUGCGGCACCGUCUGCCAUGCCGCGGACAAGCUGCUGUCAGCUGGAGCCACCAAAGUUUAUGCUGUUCUUAUCCAUGGGAUCUUGUCUGGACCAGCUAUUUCCAGAAUAAAUAAUGCUGCCUUUGAGGCUGUGGUCCACAAACACAAUUCCGCAAGAGGACAAAAUGAAACACUGCACCAAGAUUCAGGUCACUGACAUUUCCAUGAUCUUGGCCGAAGCAAUCCGAAGGGCACACAAUGGGGAAUCCGUGUCCUACCUGUUAAGCCAUGCCCCGCUAUAAAUCCAGAAUGGGAAGUGCCCAGCAAGCCUACUCUGACUUCUGACUUGUUUUUGUUUUCUGGAUGUUUAGCUGUAGGUACUCAGCAAUGAUAGGUUAAUCACUGGCAAAAGCAUCCGAUCUUUGUAUGUGCUAAGAUUUAUUGUUUCCCGUUCUAAAGCUCAAGAUCAUUUCUUUCCAGUUUUGGGGGAAAUGGUGGUAGUUAUUUGGUCUUUAAGUGAACUGUCUUAAAUGAGAAAUGUUUUUGUCAUUUUGAUUUUUAACGGGUACAGGUGAUCUCUUCCUUUGUUCUUUCAAUACUUUGAGGUGACAACUUUCAAGUAUAUAAUUUCAUUGUGGAAGUCAUAGUUUAUAUAUUUCGAGGUUGCCAAAGGUGACUUCAGAUUAAAGCCUUCUGUGUAAAUAUAUAUGAUAAUGCCUAUGGACAUUUGGGUAAAACCCUGUAUAGAAUUAAUUAGCCUUUUACUUUGGAGUGAACCUUGGAAAAUGUAUAAUUAUCAUACCAUGAAUUUUGAAUUUUUCUUUUUUUUUUUUUUGAUAACUCAGUUUCAUAUAAACCAUCUUGGUUAUUGUGCUUAAUUUGGACCAAAUUUUAUUUAGCUUAAUAUGGACACUGACACAUUUUGGGGGGUAUACGUCAGACAUAUCAGAGCAGUGUAGUUCUGGAUCAUUUUUUAAAUUACCUCUUCUAAGACACAACUGUCACUUACCUGAAAUGCUGCAUCCUAAAAUUCCAAAAUUAUAUUGAGCAAUCGCCAAGGCCUAAAGCCAAUUGACCUUUACAGGUAAUCAUUCCAGCUAACAUUAAAUUUAAAGCCUAAGAAUGUAUAGAGCUAGUUUUAAAAUAAUGAUCUCAGAUUUUUAGAAAGGAUAUAGGAACCUGCAUUGUCAUUCUCUGAAUUCAGAACUGAUGGUUUCUAUCAUUAUUUAGCCCCACCUUUGUAUUUUAAUGUCCUUCAGAAUACUUUUAUGAACCAAUGAGACUGGACUUAGCCACACACAAUGGAAAUUCAGACCUUGACUAUUUGGUUUUUCCAGUUCACAAAGGUGAUGAAGACUGUCUUGGGAGCAACUUAAUCCCAGAAUUUGUACAUUUCUUGCUGCUCCUGGCGUGGAAACUUAAGUGAGACCACCAAAUACAUUGGUCCUGUCCAAUUCUACUGAAUGGGGGUGGACUUGGCACUUACCUGGCCAAAAACAGGAGCUAGAGAAAUAUGAAUAUACCAAAGUUGUUUAGCCUCCAACUUAAAUUACGUUAGUCAACUUUUAGAUAUUCAUAUGAUCACUUUUCUUUUUAGAUACUACAUCAACUAGAUUCAGGAAGAUAUCAUUUGCAGUGCUUGUAUUGGUUUAAAAUAUAAGAUUUUAAGAUCCUCUAACAUUGUACUAAAAAAUUUCAAUAAAAUCAUUCUGACAGC